rnacentral:lncRNA from 1 species
GAAACAGGAAAUAGAGAUAGAGGGAGACGUCACGGCCUGCAGACGCCCUUAGGUCUACCUUAGGUCUCCGGGUAGACUGAAGGAAGCACUCCAACUACUGUCCGAAAGUUGCUCUUGGAUCUGCACACAAUGCAGAGUGUAGUAUCAUCACAACGGACCCCAUGUGCUGGUAAGUGUAUAGCCUAACCUCGGCUAAGUAUUGACGAGGCUAAGACCAGACUACCAAAUAAACCUGUGCAUUUUAAAUAUAUACAACAGAAAAAAAUAUAUAUAUAACUAGUCAGUGUGGGAAGGGGAAACAUGUUGUGGGGGAGAUAACAGUUCUGAAUAGAAAGACAUCAAGUAAGGAAAAAAACUACAUAACUCGGAUACUCAUAAGGAAAUCAGGAAUCAAUAAAUGCAUGACUUCGUGCUUUUACUAUAGUCCUCACCAAGGCAGAUAUAUAAUAGAAAUGUGCGUUGCAUCACCCUUCAUACUUUUACUCUCUUUCCUCACUAAAUAAUCAAUAGAAUUGGUACAGAAUGGUACAUCGUGCGGCAUAACAUGACCCUUCAUAAUUUACACUCUUUCCUCACAAUCAUACACGGCAUCACCCGUUGUGCUUUAUACUCUUUCCUCACGAAAGAAAAUGAUACAUGCAUCACCCUUCGUCCUUUAACGCUCUUCCUCAGCCAAACAACAAUCACAAAUAAUGGGGCGAGGUAAUAAACAAGAUUAUAAUAGGAAUCCCGGAAAGGGAAUAAUAAUUAAACAAUUAAAUCCUAGCAAGGGAACAACAUCAACAAUAUUAACAUUCCCGGCAAGGGAGAUAAUCAAUAAAGCAAUAAUAUCCCGGCAAGGGAACAAUUUAAUAACUUUUUCUCUUUUUCACUUUUACUUCACAACUCACUUUACCAGUUGAGCCAAUGCUCCAAAGGGUUCAAUCAAAUCAUUUACUUUCACAACUCAUAAUAUAAAUUGAGCCAUUUCUCCUCGAUGUUAAAAAGUCACAAUUACUUCCUCAACUUUUCACAACAAACAGAAAUCACUUCUAAAGCAUAGAUUAUUCAACGAAAUCAUGAAAAUCACAUUAUAAAAUUCACGGUCAUGCUAGACACCAAUGCAUAGAUAAUCGCGUCACCAUGCCUAUGCGUCGUACUCAACAAUAAUCAUGUAGCAAAUAGGACUCGACUCCUAAUCCCUCAAGCUAAGGUUAUACCAAACACUUACCUCAAACUUUCACGGCCAACUCAAACCUCAAACACUGCUUUUCCUUUCAAAUUUGGCUCCAACACAACUGAAUCAAUACAUAAUUGACUUAAUAACAUCAGUAAAUGCUAAACAAUCCAAUUCCAAUGUUUAAUUAUAACAUUUCAAUCAUUCUUUCAAAAAAUCGACCCCGGGACUGCUUGGUCAAAACACGAGGUUCAAACCAAAAUCCCAUCACCCAUUCACCCACGAGCCCGAAUAUAUAAUUUGUUUUCAAGUACGAUCCCAAAACGAAGUCUAAGUUAUAAUUAAUCAAAAAUCCUUAAUUCUACUAAGAUUCCUAAUUUUCAACCUUAAUUAGAUUUAGGCCUAGAAAUAUAAUGGGUGUUGAUAAAAAUGGAAGAAAAUACGUUAAAGAUUACUUACCCAAGAGAUUAUAGUGAAGAAAUACUUCAAAAAUCACCUAAGAGUUUUGGAGAAGAAGAGGUUUGUGAAAUUUUAAGAAAAUCCCGAAAGUGUUCUGUUUUUGGCUUUUAAAAUCACUCGGCGAAAAUGCCCUUCGCGAUCACGACAGGAUCAACGCAUUCGUGAUGAGUCAAGCCUGCCAGAUCUUCGCGUUUGCGUAAAAAGGCUCUUGUUCGUGGAGCUUUGGCUCCUCGAGCCUACGCAUUCGCAGGACAAUUGCCAUGUUUGCGAUGAAAAGGUUGGUGACCCCUCCCCUCAACCUUACGUAUCUGCGAGUGGAGGGACGCGUUCGCGAAGGGUCUCCCCCUUCAGCUUUGUCACACCUUCCUUUUACCGCGCUUGCAGGAGUGCAAGUGGAGUUUUUCCAAUUAAAAGACAAUCGAAAUGGGAUUUAUUUAUUUAAUUCAGAGUCGCCACUUGGGAGAUUUAUGGUGUCUCAAAUCACCGGUUGAAUCCCAAAUCGAGGAAAAAAUUGACUCUGUAUUACAGUCCGCGAACCAGAAAUUCGGAUAUGGAAUUCUAUUAACCCUGGAGAAGGUAUUUGGCAUUCUCGAGUUACGUAGUUCUAUCACGGUCACUCAAUUAUCAUAUUCGGUUAAUUUAUCUAGUUUUAACACAUGUUGAACAUAUGUGAAAAUUUUAACUCUUUACCUCUUUUAUUAUCAUUAUUUCUAACAAGAAUUACAACGUCGUAAAAGAACAUCUCGAACAACGUCACAUCAAAUGCACCCGUGGUUAUCGACACAUUUUGACUCCGUCGAGAUUUGGAUUUGGAUCACAUAAAUGUGCACCCAAAUUUAUUGAAGUACAUUAUUAAAAGCAUGCCUAAAUUGACUAGUGCGUUAUUAUCUUUGGGGAGGACUGUGAAAUUCACUAAAUGGCCCAUCCCAAAUUCUAAAUGUUUUAUUUUUAACCAAUUAUCGAGGGCCCCGUAGUUUGUAGGUUUUAUCCGGUGAGGCUCGUCUCAUGUGUUAUAUAAAGGUCCAUCCUAAAGUAACUACGAUUUUUCUAUAUAUUUUUCUCUAUAAAAAAGGGAAAAAGUCCUAAUUUUAUUUUUAGUUCUACUAUUACUACUACAUUUGGGGUUGUCAAUACUAGAAAAAUAAUUUUUGUCAAGAAUGCAAAGCGACUGAUUAAACCAAUUGAUUCAAGUUAGCCUUACUAGAUCAAUGUUCAAAACACCCAUGAUUUAAAGCUGUGAUAUUGAAAAUGUUAUUAGCAAACAAAUGUCAGACGGAUGUCUUUAAAUUAAUGCCUAUAUCCUAAAUAACAUCCAGUUUCUACUUAUCACUAUACGUGAAAGAUGUAAAUAUCACAUUUGUCUCAUGCUUCAAACUAUUCUGAUUUUCAAAAUUUAAACUACAUGGAUAAAUCAUCUUACAUCAAGAUUGGUGAUUAGCACCAAUGUGCAGGCUAAUUAGCAGAAACAUAUACGUCUAACUUCAGUCCACUUUAUACAAUCAUAUACAAAUCAAAUCUAAACUACACUAAACCAUUGCGUCUAGAUUACUUAGUCAUCAACAUAUAACAGUUCAAACAGGUAGAGUUCCAUAAGCGCAAGGUAAACAUUUCUCAUUUGAAUUUCUACUUCAAAUUCAGUAUCAGUACAUCAGGAGAGAAACAAAUCUCUAGAUUUGAACAAUACAAGAAGAAGGAAAAAGUAGUAAUCAGCAGCAGUAACAGUAGCACCAGCAACAGUAAUAUAACAGCAGCAGCAACUCAAUACAACUCAAGAAAACCCAGAAAAGUUUUAAACCAAACAACGAACAACAAAUAACCAACAAUAGUCUACCUAAACAAGAGUAGUUUGGACCAAACAACUUCACAGACAAACCCAGGCAACCUCAACAGAAACACAAUGCAACCAGACCAGAACACUCAAAUGCAAAAUAGCUCCAAUAAGCUCUCUUAGACUGAUUCCAGAACCUCUUCAAAGACUGACCAAAACUCUCAAGUUUUUAACUCUCAAAACUCUUACUCCCCAUUCAAGUCCCUCUUAAUGUCUCUCCUCAAUGUCUAUACUCUUUUCUUAGUUCUAUGUGUUUCUUGACUCUCCCCUCUUACUGUCAGUUCAUGUCCUUCACUAUGUCUCUACUCAUCUCUAUAUUUAAACCCAAAGCCCUUUUCCCUUUUCAAACCUCCUUUUUUCUUUUACACUUGUAAAAGGAAAACUUUUAUUAUUACCCCUCCUGCUUUUACUUUCCAGCUUUUAUAUUCCCUUUCCAUGUACACCCUUUUAGCUUUUUUAUUAUUAUUCCCCCUCUUUUUACUUUCCAGCUCCUUUUUCCUUUAUUCACAUCAUUAUGUCUUGUUCCCCACCACUCUUAAACAAAUAUAUUGUUUUAAAGGUCCACUAGUACUUACUGGACAUACCCAUUAAACUAGCCAUUUUCAAUCCUUUUAAAUCCCAAAAUACCCCUGAAACUUCUGAAUUUACUAUCCUACCCCAAUCCCCUUUCAGUAACCAAUUACCUAUCCAAAACCAGUCAACAAUUCAAGCUAGAAACUCAGAUCAGAUCAAAUAUCAUCAAAAUAAGAACAAUGAUUCCGAACAAAAUCCUAUUGAACUACUAAACGAACUGGACAAAGUGCAACUUCAGUUUUGGAAACAAAUAUGCCUCCUAAUAAUUUGAAACUCAGUAUUGGAUUUCUAAUAGAGAAUCAAGCAUAAUUAAAAUUCAACAAUUUAAAUCAAUAAUACAUAUUUAUUAUAGAACUGAGAAAGUGAAACACGAUAAUUAAACAAAACAGAUCGAAAAAAAGGAAUAACGGACUUACAAACUCUUUGAAAAUUCUCUUGUAAAUCAAGACAUGUACAGAAAUGGAAAUAAUGAACCCGAAACCAGAACCACGACCGGUGACACCAAACGAAACAAAAUCUGUCCAGAAAACCUCAUGAGCCCUAACCGGACUGCCUCGCUAACCCCCGGUAUUCAGAUCGGAGCAUAUGUUUCUCCGUCAAUCCCUCACUUCGUUCAUUUUUUACCUCUAUUCUCUUUCGACGACGACCAAAUGACGUCAAAGCGGUAGGGGCCAUUUGGAGAAGAAGAAGCAGUAAUGGGUGGGGGUGGUCGUUUGUAAAGUCGACUGGUGGUCGACGUUGCUAGAGUGAGGGCUGUUUGGGCGUGGGUGGUGAGGUUGAUGGGCAGUUGGGUGACGAGCUUGUCGUUGGUUGUUAGGUGGUGGACGAUGGCGACUGGUCGGGGGCGUGGAAGUGGAGCUGAAGAAGCAGUGGCUUGGAGAUGUUGCUGCUCGCUGCUGCUCGACGAAAUAGGGUGGUCGAUUGGUUGAGGUCGUUUAUGUCCAGUGUUGGGCGACGAACGGGCGGGUUCAGGCGAUGCUUAUGCGGUGAGAGGCGUGGUUGGGCUGCUGGUUGGUUCAAGAGGACGAGGAUGGUGAGAUGCAGGUCUCGAGGGUGGCUGCUUGGAGUGCUAACGGUUUUUAUAGGAUUAGGGUUUUUUUUUUGUGUGUUAGGAAUUGGAGAAUGAAAUGAAAAUCAA